AGAGAGACUGAGUGACAGGGCUCACAUUGCUAGGAGUGGCCAGAAUGUGGGUGGCAUCCCCUACCAGGGGACUUCAAGGCUAAAGCCCAUGGGAUGUCUGGUGGAAGCUGGCAGGUUGAAUGCCAAGCAUCAGCCUCCUGAAACUCCACUAAAAUGAUGGUAAAGGGAUUGAAAAAAGGCAUACUGAUAAAGGAUGGAGGGAAUGGAGAGAAGACAACAGCAGCAACUUUUCAGAAGCUGAAAAACAGAUGGAUAAAUGGUAAUUGAACCAGAAGACCCAGGAAAGCUGCAUCCUGACCUGCUAGUGGAGAAAAGCCAAAGGAACAACCCAGUAUAUACACUGAAGCCCCCAAAAGGCCCAGGAAUUGUCAGCAUUGGGUGCCUUCAGAAGUAGGGGUGAAGAGGGGGUAAAAGGUUAGUGCACAGCCUAAGAAGCAGUUGGCCUCAGACCUCCUCUCCAAUUCCCUCAACUGGACAAUCUCCUUUGCCAACUCAGGCAGAAGCUGGAGGUCUGUUCUCUGGAGACGGUAUAACAGGGGUCUCUGGACUGAAGGGCAGCAGGUGAAGUCGGAGGUUGGGGUACCAUCCCAUACUAAAAAUGGGGAAAGAGGCCCAGUGAAAGUUUAUGUACUGAAUGCUGACGCUUUCAGUCUUCAUCUCCCAACUGAAUUUGAGAACACAGGCAGCCAGUGUUAAUUCCACCAGGAAAGAAGCUGCAAGCGUCUUCUCUAGGGAAUUCGACCAGCCCAGGAGGGAGGACCUAAAGACAUGGACAUGAGGAGCUCCACCAGGAAGUGGCCCCAGCAGGUCACAGGAGAGGGAAACCAAAUAGAUAAAUCCCAAACAAGUGUACAGAGCUCCCCAAAACUUGUCGGUACCUUUCUCUUAAGUUUCAGUGGGCAGCUAAGGACCAUUAGACAUCUAAGAAAAACUUCUCAAAGAUGUUAAAAUAAUAAAAGCCAACUUAGAGGUAACAGAGAUUAGAGAAAAGAAUGAUUAGAAGAACACUAUCAGUAUCCUCAGGUAGAUUAGACAUUGUAUUCAAGAAAUAAGAUGCUUCAAGAAAAUAUCUAGAGCAAGAAAAGAUUACUUGGAAAUUAAAACAUGACAGCCAAAGUGAAAAACCCAAUAGAAAGAUUGGAAGAGAGAGUUGUGAUUGUCCAAAAUGAGAGCAAGAAGACAAAGAGAUGAUAAAUAAAAGAAAAAAGGUAAGAAAACUAAAGAACCAGAUGAGGAUGUUUAACAAUUCCAGACCAUUUCUCAGAGAGCUGUAGUCCUGUGUCCCCAGACUGAAAGGGUACCCAGGCGUGAUAAGUGAAAGCAGACUUACACCAAAGCACACCCCCCAAAACUUUUAGUACAUUUUAGUACACUCAGAGAGAGGGGGUUUGGAGAGGGACAGAGGGAGGGGAAGAGGGAGAGGAAGACUAGAAGCUUUCAAAGGGGAAGAAAGCAGAAUUCAAACAAAAGAUCAAGAAUCCGAUUGCACUGUACUUUUCAGCAACACCAAAAACUAGGAGAUUUAAAAAAAAAAAACUUUGAGUCUUCAGUAUCCAGGCAAACUACCAAUGUGAGGGCAAAAUAAAGACAUUUUCCAACAUGCAAGGUCUCAAAAGAAUUGACCUCACUUGCACCCUUUCCUAGGAAGCCCCAAGCGUGUGUACUACCAAAACAAGGGAGCAAACCAAGACGUGGGAUCCUGGAAACAAAUGACGCCAGAGAGUAUAUGAGCACAGACGUCCUCAGAACAAUGGGAAAAGUAGAUCCCAGGAUGACAGUGGAGGAGCCAACCAGAAGAGAUCCAGAAGAGACUUCAAAAAGACUGAGGUGGGCUUCCCUGGUGGCGCAGUGGUUGAGA